ensembl:snRNA U6 U6 spliceosomal RNA
GUACUCACUUUGGCAGCACAGAUACUAAAAUUGGAAUGAUACAGAGAAGAUUAGCAUGGCCCCUGUGCAAGGAUGACAUGCAAAUUUGUGAAGUGUUGGCUCGAUGC